rnacentral:rRNA from 1 species
UACGGAGGGUGCAAACGUUGCUCGGAAUCAUUGGGCGUAAAGCGCGUGUAGGCGGCUUUGCAAGUCGGAUGUGAAAGCCCACGGCUCAACCGUGGAAGUGCAUCCGAAACUGCAUGGCUCGAGUCUCGGAGAGGAAGGUGGAAUGCUUGGUGUAGAGGUGAAAUUCGUAGAUAUCAAGCAGAACACCGGUGGCGAAGGCGGCAUCCUGGACCGGCAUUGACGCUGAGGCGCGAAAGCUAGGGGAGCAAACGGG